CCUACGGGCGGCAGCAGUGAGGAAUAUUGGUCAAUGGACGAGAGUCUGAACCAGCCAAGUAGCGUGAAGGAUGACUGCCCUAUGGGUUGUAAACUUCUUUUAUAUGGGAAUAAAAUGUUCCACGUGUGGGUUUUUGCAUGUACCAUAUGAAUAAGGAUCGGCUAACUCCGUGCCAGCAGUCGCGGUAAUACGGAGGAGCCGAGCGUUAUCCGGAUUUAUUGGGUUUAAAGGGAGCGUAGGUGGAUUGUUAAGUCAGUUGUGAAAGUUUGCGGCUCAACCGUAAAAUUGCAGUUGAAACUGGCAGUCUUGAGUACAGUAGAGGUGGGCGGAAUUCGUGGUGUAGCGGUGAAAUGCUUAGAUAUCACGAAGAACUCCGAUUGCGAAGGCAGCUCACUGGACUGCAACUGACACUGAGGCUCGAAAGUGUGGGUAUCAAACAGGAUUAGAUACCCCUGUAGUC
rnacentral:rRNA from 1 species